rnacentral:rRNA from 1 species
AUGGGGGGCUGCUACUCCGCCUACGCCUGCUCGCGGAAGCUGCGCGGCCGCCUCGGCAACCUCUCCUUCGUCCUCCCCGUCACCGAACGCGACGCCGCCGCCGCCUCCGGGGCCAGCACCAGCAGCGCCCGCGCGGGCUCGGACCGCUCCUCCAAGAAGAGCGACCACGGCAGCUCCAGGCGCAACAAUGGCGACGGCCCCGCCGGCGGCACCGAGGAGGAGGAGCUCGUGGCCAAGAUGACGUCCGCGGAGUUCGGGCGGCGCUACGUGCUGGGGAAGGAGCUCGGCCGCGGGGAGUUCGGGGUGACGCGCCGCUGCAAGGACGCCGCCACGGGCGAGGCGCUCGCGUGCAAGACCAUCCGGAGGCACCGCCGCCGGGGCGGCCGCGGGGCGAACCGCAAGGCCGCGGGUGGCGGGGGCGCGGAGGCCGCCGCGAGAGCCGCCGCCGCCGCCGCGGCGGCGCACGCGGCCGACGUGCGGCGGGAGGUGGCCAUCAUGCGGCGCAUGUCAGCCCGCGGUGGCUCGGCCGUUGUGCGGCUGCGAGAGGCCCGCGAGGACCAGGAAGGCUCCGUGCACCUCGUCAUGGAGCUCUGCGAGGGCGGCGAGCUCUUCGACCGCAUCGUCGCCCGCGGCCACUACUCCGAGCGAGCCGCUGCCAAGAUCUUCCGCACCAUCGUCAACGUCAUCCAGUUGUGCCAUUCGAACGGGGUGAUCCACCGUGAUCUCAAGCCGGAGAACUUCCUGUUCGCCAACAAAUCCGAGGACGCCCCCCUCAAGGUGAUCGACUUCGGCCUCUCGGUGUUCUUCAACCCCGGCGAUCGCUUCACGGAGGUGGUGGGGAGCGCCUACUACAUGGCCCCCGAGGUCCUCAAGCGCAACUACGGGCAGGAGGUGGACGUGUGGAGCGCCGGCGUCAUCCUCUACAUCCUCCUCUGCGGUGUGCCGCCCUUCUGGGGGGACAACGACGAGAAGAUCGCGCAGGCCAUCAUCCGCGGCGGCCUCGACUUCAACCGGGAGCCUUGGCCCAGGGUGUCCGGCAACGCCAAGGACCUCAUCAGGGGGAUGCUCGACCCCGACCCCGCCGCCCGGCUCACGGCCGCGCAAGUUCUUGAGCACCCGUGGCUGAAGAACGCGGAGACGGCGCCGAACGUGUCGCUGGGCGAGGCGGUGCGGUCUCGGCUGCAGCAGUUCUCGGCGAUGAACAAGUUCAAGAAGAAGGCGCUGGGCGUGGUGGCGCGGAACAUGCCGGUGGAGGAGCUGGACAAGUACGUGCAGAUGUUCCAUCUCAUGGACAAGGACAAGAACGGCAACCUGUCGCUGGAGGAGCUCGUGGAGGGCCUCCACAUCAACGGCCAGCGCGUGCCGGAGUCGGAGAUCAGGAUGCUGCUCGAGGCCGCGGACACGGACGGCAACGGGACGCUGGACUGCGACGAGUUCGUCACGGUGUCGCUGCACCUCAAGAAGAUGACCAACGAGAAGUACCUGGCGGCGGCGUUCCGCUACUUCGACAAGGACGGCAGCGGCUUCAUCGAGAUCGACGAGCUCCGGCAGGAGCUGGGACCCAACGAGCAGGCCAUCCUCGAGAUCAUCCGCGACGUCGACACCGACCGGGACGGACGCAUCAGCUACCAGGAGUUCGAGCUGAUGAUGAAGUCCGGGGCGGACUGGAGGAACGCGUCCCGCCAGUUCUCGCGAGCCAACUUCAGCACCCUCAGCCGGAAACUAUGCAAAGAAGAAACUUCCUCCUCGUGA